GACAACUUACACUUUCUACUCAAAAAAUCAAUCUACAAUCUCUAUUUGUUUCUUUGUGUUAUUGUGUGAUCUUUGAAAAUGGCGAAUUACCAGAACCAAUAUGGUGCAACGGCCCAAUCUACAAAUGAUUACGGGAACCCACUCACCAACUACACCGGAUCAGAGCCCCAAUCUACAAAUGAGUACGGGGCUACAGAUGAGUAUGGGAACCCAGUCACCACCUACACCAGAUCAGAGCCCCACUAUACAGAUGAGUAUGGGAACCCAGUACGCGAAAGGGGGAUGAUGGACAAGAUCAAGGAGAAGCUCCCAGGUACUCAUGACCCCUACUCAUCUCAUUCUCAGACAACCUACCCCACUGCACGUUACGGUGAAACCGGCUACACUGGAUUGGAGCAGCACCAUGGGAUGAUGAACAAGAUGCCAGGUACUGACCCCUACUCAUCUCAUUCUCAUACAACCGGCACCACUGCACCUUACGAUGGAACCGGCUACACCGGAACAGAGUACCGCCAGCACAAGGGCACGAUGGACAGGAUCAAGGAUAAGCUGACUGGGACUGGUGGACAUAGGGUGGAUGAUCCCUACUCAUCUCAUUCUCAUAAAACCGCCACCACCACACCUUACGGUGGCACCACCACCACAGCUUACGGUGACAGCACCACCACACCUUCACCUUACGGUGGCACCACCACCACACAUUCACCUUACGGUGGCACCACCACCACAGCUUACGGUGACACCACCACCACACCUUCAGCUUACGGUGGCACCACCACCACACCUUCAGCUUACGGUGGCACCGCCACCACCACCUACCCCCGUGAAAAGAAGGGCAUCAUGGACAAGAUCAAAGAGAAACUUCCUGGUGGACAUCAUUAUUAAUAAUAGGGUUAUGUAAGAGAUAGAUACGUUAGGUAUCGUUUUGUGUUCAAUGUUUUAGUAUGACGUGUAUAAUAAGCGGUGCUUG
rnacentral:lncRNA from 1 species